GGUAUAUUUCAAUUAAUCCAAAUAAAUCGGCACGCGACGCCGUCGCGCGUGCGUCGCGAACAUGGAAGGAAGAAAAAAGAGCGUGGUCGGGACGCCUGCGCCUAGGGGCGUCGCGGCGACCGCCGACGCCUUCUUGAAUGAAAACGUCGCAGUCAGUUCGCAUCAAGGCGUCCAUCCUCGCUUCGACUUUCACGGAUUUUGUAAUUCCCACGUCGAGGAGAACCGCCAGUGACAUUCCAAGACGAUAAAUCGAGCCUUCGUGCUGCGAACAGGUCGUCCCCCUCGCAUCGUUUCAUCUUCGUUGGAUCGCGAAUAUAUCAUAGCGGGCGCGUGUUGCGGCGACGACGCUCCCGAGACCGCGGCGCAGGUUGUCCAGACGCCAGAGGAAGGAAAACGAAGGCACGAAGAAGUUCCAGAACGGGUGGUGUCCCUUUUGGUCCCGUGAAUCGUCGACUGGCAGGAGUGUUGGCCGAGGGUGUGUCUUUUUCCGCUUUGCUGCCGCUGAGAUGGAGUCCGCCAGCAAAGGGGAACAGGCCGACCCUCCCGCACCAACUAAAUAAUAUUCGAUGACAGUGAUAUAUAGGGAACAACGUCGCUGUGCCCAGGCAACUUUCUCCUCGAUAAAUCUCGUUAACCUGGAAGUGGACCAUUCGGAACAAAAGUAAAGUAAUUGUCCACGACUGCGCCACGACGAAGAUCAACGUGACGUGAACGACCUUUAAAUCCUAGGAACAAUUCAACGCGUCUCGGUAACGUCAUUUCGUCAAUUUGCACGAAUUUGCUAUUGUUCUCAGACACCGUAACUCAGUUCCAUCGAAACGUAGCAACGAUCCGCAAUCGAUAGCAUUUGGUACGCUGCGAGGUUCGAGGAUAAUGGCUGGCCGAAUGAUUUCCUCUAGAGUCGUAAAUCUCCUGACGCUUUAUGCUAACCCAUCGACCACGCAACGGUAAAUCAUCUUUUUCGGAACAAUUGCUUACUUCCCACUCAAUUAUGUAUACGUGUACCCCGGUGACGACAAAGAUAGAUCGUGUAUACGUAUCGUUGAAACGAGAAUAGCAAUUUUACUGGGCCACAACCUGCGCCUCCUAGUCGCUGAGAAAUUUACGAGGGCCCACUCCUUCCAUAUUGAAUUACAUUUCGGUAAACAUUUGUCAUAGAGGCGAAUCGACGCCAGCCGAAAACCUCGUUGCAGCAAAAUAUUACUAUUUCUACAGACGAAGAAGAUUGACAAUUGAAACCAUGACAUUUCUGUGAUUUUGUGAUUGAAUUUGACUUCCAUUUUCUCAUCUUCGAAACAAAUUACCUCUUAUAUCGCAACCUCCUCGCUGAAUUUUUGCGCGCGUCACAGGAAUAAGGAGACAUCUGUACUACGUUUUCAGCGUUCUAACGACCUCUUCUGUCCACGUUUCUAUCGAGGAAGUGCUGAACGAUUAAGGUGAACGACUGGCCCGGUCUUCUGUCGUCGCAGCGGCACGCGCGACGCUUCCUAAAGCUUAAAGAAAUCCUCUUUGAGCGCGGCAACCGACGCCGACGUGUCGACAAGGAGUUCUCGGACUGUUCCGGGGACGAUUACGCGUCCGAUGUAAUUUAUCGCGCCGGAAAACCAGUGUGCAGUCGAGUCGUAACUCGAAAACGGUGGAAAACCUCGUGCAGCAUUUGUAAACCAAACUAAUAUAUCUGAAACGUCGAGCUUUUUGAUGGAUUAUUUUUACUCGUAUUUCUAUACCUCAUUGGUUAACUACGUUUAGUCCGCGUUCAGCAAACGUAGUAUAAAGUAUAUCGGCACAUAAAUCCCAUUACAUUCCUCAUUCCUACUUAAAAUACCGACGUCCAAACAGUUGAAUGUAUUGUGCCUUCCCUCUGUGGUUCAGAUUAUCACCUUUUUUUUUUUUUAAUAUAAAAAGCAUGAAAAGGUCCGUUCAACGUAUCAGGCCGCUGUCAAUCGUCGCUGACUGCACUCUGGUGCCCCUGGAUUCGUUGAAGAGAAUAUUCCACCGCGACGAAGAGGGACCUGUCAGUUAUUGCCUCGAAACGCGAACUCGUUAUUGCCGUGGAAAUAUAUCGGAGAUCGUAAAGAUCUCUCUGGCCGCUCGAGCCGCGAUCUUGAAAUACAAAUUUAUCGCAGAUGUGUCGCUCGACGGCGACCAGAACCGCGGGUUUCCCGCGUGCGUUUUCCAACCCGUGUGCAAACCCGCAGGAAACAUUCGCGUGGGCGUCAGUGGGUGUGGGUGUGCUCCGGUCGUUGGCGUCGCUCCAGCACGCGUUCCUGACUGUUCGAGCGAGAGAUCUAAACGCUCGUUUCGUCGAGACGCCUUCAUCCGCGGAUUUCACGAACUUCAACUACUGAUACAUCGAUCGAUGAACAAAACAUCGAUACCUUGGUUUUUUACGGCGAGCUAACAUUACUCAUCGAUCUUCCCGUGUUGACGAACAGCCAUGAGCCAGGCUAGGAAUUUUACAUUUAAUUAUUUCUGUAACUCUUAACCAC